AACCUAGCACACCUGCGGUGUGUACCUGCGGAAGGAUCAUUAACGAGUUACCACUCUAUAACCCUUUGUGAACAUACCUACAUGUUGCUUCGGCGGUCGGCCCCCCGGGCCCCCGGCCCCGCUCACGCGGGGCGUCCGCCGGAGGAUAACCAAACUCUGAUUUAACGACGUUUCUUCUGAGUGGCACAAGCAAAUAAUCAAAACUUUCAACAAUGGAUCU
rnacentral:misc_RNA from 1 species